rnacentral:rRNA from 1 species
UACGUAGGGUGCAAGCGUUGUCCGGAUUUAUUGGGUUUAAAGGGUGCGUAGGCGGCCUGUUAAGUCAGUGUUUAAAUUUUGCAGCUUAACUGUAGGUAUGGCAUUGAUACUGAUGGGCUUGAAUAUUAUAGAGGUAGCUGGAAUUUAUGGUGUAGCGGUGAAAUGCAUAGAUACCAGGAGGAACACCGAUGGCGAAGGCAUGUUACCAGGUGAUUACUGACGCUGAGGCACGAAAGUGUGGGGAGCAAACAGG